UUGCCUUAGUAACGGCGAGUGAAGCGGCAAAAGCUCAAAUUUGAAAUCUGGCACCUUCGGUGUCCGAGUUGUAAUUUGAAGAAGGUAACUUUGGAGUUGGCUCUUGUCUAUGUUCCUUGGAACAGGACGUCACAGAGGGUGAGAAUCCCGUGCGAUGAGAUGCCCAAUUCUAUGUAAAGUGCUUUCGAAGAGUCGAGUUGUUUGGGAAUGCAGCUCUAAGUGGGUGGUAAAUUCCAUCUAAAGCUAAAUAUUGGCGAGAGACCGAUAGCGAACAAGUACAGUGAUGGAAAGAUGAAAAGAACUUUGAAAAGAGAGUGAAAAAGUACGUGAAAUUGUUGAAAGGGAAGGGCUUGAGAUCAGACUUGGUAUUUUGCGAUCCUUUCCUUCUUGGUUGGGUUCCUCGCAGCUUACUGGGCCAGCAUCGGUUUGGAUGGUAGGAUAAUGACUAAGGAAUGUGGCUCUACUUCGGUGGAGUGUUAUAGCCUUGGUUGAUACUGCCUGUCUAGACCGAGGACUGCGUCUU
rnacentral:rRNA from 1 species